rnacentral:rRNA from 1 species
AGCGGCGGACGGGUGAGUGUGGCGUGGGAAUUUACCAGAGAGUGGGGGACAACUGCUGGAAACGGCAGCUAAUACCGCAUAGGCCCUAGGGGGGAAAGGCUUCGGCCGCUCAAUGAGAAGCCCGCGUACGAUUAGUUUGUUGGUGGGGUAAUGGCCUACCAAGACUACGAUCGUUAGCUGGUCUGAGAGGACGAUCGGCCGCGCUGGGACUGAGACACGGCCCAGACUCCUACGGGAGGCAGCAGUGGGGAAUAUUGGACAAUGGGCGAAAGCCUGAUCCAGCGACGCCGCGUGAGUGAAGAAGGCCUUAGGGUUGUAAAGCUCUUUCGGUGGGGAAGAUAAUGACGGUACCCACAAAAGAAGCCCCGGCUAACUCCGUGCCAGCAGCCGCGGUAAUACGGAGGGGGCUAGCGUUACUCGGAAUUACUGGGCGUAAAGCGAGCGUAGGCGGUUAAAUAAGUUGAGGGUGAAAGCCCGGGGCUCAACCCCGGAAAUGCCCUCAAAACUAUUUGACUAGAGGACGGGAGAGGGGAGUGGAACUCCCAGUGUAGAGGUGAAAUUCGUAGAUAUUGGGAAGAACACCAGUGGCGAAGGCGACUCUCUGGACCGUUUCUGACGCUAAAGCUCGAAAGCGUGGGUAGCAAACAGGAUUAGAUACCCUGGUAGUCCACGCCGA